GUUUGAUCCUGGCUCAGGACGAACGCUGGCGGCGUGCUUAACACAUGCAAGUCGAACGAUGAAGCCAGCUUGCUGGUGGAUUAGUGGCGAACGGGUGAGUAACACGUGGGCAACCUGCCCUCAGCUCUGGGAUAACUCCAAGAAAUUGGUGCUAAUACCGGAUAUUCUUCUUUCACCGCAUGGUGGUUGGAGGAAAGUUUUUCGGCUGGGGAUGGGCCCGCGGCCUAUCAGCUUGUUGGUGGGGUGAUGGCCUACCAAGGCGACGACGGGUAGCCGGCCUGAGAGGGUGACCGGCCACACUGGGACUGAGACACGGCCCAGACUCCUACGGGAGGCAGCAGUGGGGAAUAUUGCGCAAUGGGCGGAAGCCUGACGCAGCGACGCCGCGUGAGGGAUGACGGCCUUCGGGUUGUAAACCUCUUUCAGCAGGGACGAAGCGGAAGUGACGGUACCUGCAGAAGAAGCACCGGCCAACUACGUGCCAGCAGCCGCGGUAAUACGUAGGGUGCAAGCGUUGUCCGGAAUUAUUGGGCGUAAAGAGCUCGUAGGCGGUUUGUCGCGUCGGCUGUGAAAGCCCGGAGCUCAACUCCGGGUCUGCAGUCGAUACGGGCAGACUUGAGUGUUGCAGGGGAGACUGGAAUUCCUGGUGUAGCGGUGAAAUGCGCAGAUAUCAGGAGGAACACCGGUGGCGAAGGCGGGUCUCUGGGCAACAACUGACGCUGAGGAGCGAAAGCGUGGGGAGCGAACAGGAUUAGAUACCCUGGUAGUCCACGCCGUAAACGUUGGGCGCUAGGUGUGGGGGCCAUUCCACGGUCUCCGUGCCGCAGCUAACGCAUUAAGCGCCCCGCC
rnacentral:rRNA from 1 species